rnacentral:rRNA from 1 species
GACGAACGCUGGCGGCGUGCUUAACACAUGCAAGUCGAACGGAAAGGCCCUGCUCUUGUGGGGUGCUCGAUUGCCGAACGCGUGAGUAACACGUGAGUAACCUGCCCUUGUAUUUGGGAUAACUUCAGGAAACUCGGGCUAAUAUCGGAUAGGAUCUCCUGCUGCAUGGGGGUGGUUAGAAAGUUUCGGCUGUGGGGGAUGGACUCGCGGGUUAUCCGCUGGUUUGUGGGGUAGUGGCUUACCACGGCUUUGACGGGUAGCCGGCCUGGGAGGGUUACCGGGCACAAUGGGACUGAGAUAGGCACCAGAAUCCUACGGGCGGCAGCGGUGGGGAGUAUUGCAGAGUGGGCGGACGUGUGAUGCGGCAACGCCGCGUGCGGAAAGACGGCCUUCGGGUUGUAAACAGCUUUCGCCUGAGACGAAGCGUGAGUGACGGUACUGAGUAAAGAAGCACCGGCUAACUACGUG